rnacentral:rRNA from 1 species
CUAACGAGGAUUUCCCGAGUAACAGCGAGUGAAAAGGAAAGAGCCCAGCGCUGAAUCCAGUAGAUAACCAUGUACACUAUAUGGAAAUGUAGCGUAUAGGUAUGGUCGAUCGUCACGUACUGCUACACCCAAAGUCCCCUUGAGCGGGGCUACAGUCCAUAGAAGGUGCUAGACCUGUACGGGUGCAGUGGCGUUACGAAGGAUUAUACUUUGGAGUCGGGUUGCUUGAGAUUGCAGCCUAAAGAGGGUGGUAAACCUCAUCUAAGGCUAAAUACGACCACGAGACCGAUAGCAAACAAGUACCGUGAGGGAAAGUUGCAAAGAACUUUGAAGAGAGAGUUCAAGAGGGCGUGAAACCGCUGGGAUGGAAACGGAUAGAGUUAACGAAACUUGCCGGUAUUCAACCAUUCAAUUUAGCAACUCUUGCACGCGUUCAUGCACGUUGCGUGCGUGCUCGUUUGUAGGAGCUUGAAGUGSUAAAUUUAGAUUGGUGUAUUUACCGGUGGUAUGCAUCGAGAGCUUCGUUUACAGCAUAUUUAAGAGUUAUUUAGUGGACUAGUUAUUGAAAAUGUAAUAGCUGGAAUCAUAAAUGACACCUGAAAUAUGUCUUAGAUGAAGUGUGUGUUCUCUUGCGCUCGCAUAAUAUGCGCCUAUACUCUCUACUAGUUAUGCAUAUACAUGUGGUCGCUUGCGCGACUUGAUCAGUUGAUACUGAUUGGUGGAGUUGUAUAGGGUGUAUGUUGCGCGUGUAACGGCAACAACGUUWCACGGUACAUCUCGGUGUGAACGUUAAUCACCUAUCUGACCCGUCUUGAAACACGGACCAAGGAGU